AACACUUCUUCCUUUCUUCGAAACACACCCUCCUCUUCUUUGAAACAAUGCCUUAAAAGCGAAAACCUUAACACAGAGCUCAUCACCCUAACGGCGGCGGCGCUCUUCACCUAACAUAGAGCUCAUCGCCGGUGCUCUCACUCUCUCCCCUAAUAACACUCGUUGGUCAACCUCGUUCCAACCCUCUCUAGCAAUCCCUCCGUAGGUGCCACCUCUGCCGGUGUUCCCUGCAUCGGCGCUCCUUCCGUCUCUCCUGUAAACACCUAUCCCUCCUGCGGCGGUGACUCAUUCUGGUAAGGCCUCCCUCGGCGCUCACUCUCUGUCGCAAACCCUCCGUCGACGCUCUCUCUCGCAAACCCUCAAUCGUCACUCCUCCCUCCAUGGUUUGGCACCCGCCGCGUUGCCGUCUCCCUCUCUGAAGUCGUCGCACCGCCGUCUCCACCUCCGUCACUCGUCGCACCUCCGUCAGCCACGUUCAGCGUUCGCAGCACCGUGGACAUUCAAGAGGCUCAUGGGGCAAAUAGUUCCUGUAUUUGGUGUUGAUUGUGCAUCAGGAGAUACGUUUACUGAUGGAUCAGUUAAAUACACAAUGACUUCCAUAAAUGUUCCUGAACCUGUAAUGUCAUUAGCUAUAUAGCCAGUUUCAAAAGAUUCUGGAGGGCAAUUUUCAAAAGCUUUGAAUCGCUUCCAGAAAGAGGAUCCUACAUUCCGUGUUGGUUUAGACCCAGAGAGUGGGCAGACUAUCAUUUCUGGCAUGGGAGAACUACAUUUAGAUAUUUAUGUUGAACGUAUUCGGAGAGAGUAUAAGGUUGAUGCAACUGUUGGAAAGCCCCGUGUAAACUUCAGAGAAACUGUUACACAACGUGCUGAUUUUGAUUAUUUACACAAGAAGCAAUCUGGAGGGCAAGGUCAAUAUGGACGGGUAAUCGGGUAUGUAUUGGUAAUUUUUUAUAUUAGUUACCAUACAUAAGAAAUUUUUUUAUUAAAAUCAGAUUAGACGUGGAUUGCCUGAGAGUG